rnacentral:misc_RNA from 1 species
UCCGGUUUGUCACCGGCAGUCUCAUUAGAGUGCCCUUUCGUAGCAACUAAUGACAAGGGUUGCGCUCGUUGCGGGACUUAACCCAACAUCUCACGACACGAGCUGACGACAGCCAUGCAGCACCUGUGUAUCGGUUCCCUUUCGGGCACCCUCUAAUCUCUCAGAGGUUCCGACCAUGUCAAGGGUAGGUAAGGUUUUUCGCGUUGCAUCGAAUUAAUCCACAUCAUCCACCGCUUGUGCGGGUCCCCGUCAAUUCCUUUGAGUUUUAAUCUUGCGACCGUACUCCCCAGGCGGUCAACUUCACGCGUUAGCUGCGUUACCAAGUCAAUUAAGACCCGACAACUAGUUGACAUCGUUUAGGGCGUGGACUAC